CUACGGGAUGCUGCAGUGGGGAAUAUUGCACAAUGGACGAAAGUCUGAUGCAGCAACGCCGCGUGGAGGAUGACACAUUUCGGUGCGUAAACUCCUUUUAUAUAAGAAGAUAAUGACGGUACUAUAUGAAUAAGCACCGGCUAACUCCGUGCCAGCAGCCGCGGUAAUACGGAGGGUGCAAGCGUUACUCGGAAUCACUGGGCGUAAAGAGCGUGUAGGCGGGUUAAUAAGUUGGAAGUGAAAUCCUAUGGCUCAACCAUAGAACUGCUUCCAAAACUGUUAACCUAGAAUAUGAGAGAGGUAGAUGGAAUUUCUGGUGUAGGGGUAAAAUCCGUAGAGAUCAGAAGGAAUACCGAUUGCGAAGGCGAUCUACUGGAACAUUAUUGACGCUGAGACGCGAAAGCGUGGGGAGCAAACAGGAUUAGAUACCUCCGUAGUC
rnacentral:rRNA from 1 species